rnacentral:piRNA from 1 species
UCUGCUAGGACCCAGGAGACUAUGAAUUGC